GGAUAGCCAUGGUGAGUCAUGAGACUGCUUUUUUGUUUGCCAUAGUCUUGUGAGUCUCAUGGAUACAAGCUCCAUUGGCUUUCAGAGCUAGAUGUUUGGGGGCUCAUCCCUCAGGUGGGAGUCUUAAAAGUUGGAGUGCUGGAUGUGGGGUCCAAACCCUUUGCUCCUCAGGGAGAAGCUAGGAGUUCCCUCCUGAUUGUAUGGCACUGUGCUGGGGGUGGUGUUUAUGGUGAGAGUGUCUCAGCCUUUCCAACCCAUUUAGAUGUGGGUGAUGUGUGUAUUUUCUCAUUUGCCCAGUGUAUAGGAGUCACUCAGUUUCUAAUUUCUUUCAGAGGGAAUUGCUCCAUGUAUAGCUGUAGAUUCAGUGAGUCUGUGGGAGGAGAAACAGGACCCAAUUUUAUCUGGAAUGUCAAGGUGUCCAGCUUGUAAAACUAAAGAAAUGAGCAUUUUUGGAGGUCAGCCUAUGGGGAGAAAGAAAGAUCAUUUAGAGAACUGCUGUGGAAUCAGAAGAAGCUGCAGUGGGAUUUGUGGAGGCAGAAGGCACCUGUGCUUUGCUUCUGGCUAGGACCCCCACCUCCUAACCCCGCUGCGGGACUGCGGCUGUGUUAGACACGCUGAAGGGAACUGAAGAGAUCAAAUUCUACAUUACAAUUAAAUUCAUCCAGCUGUGGUAUCCAAUAGCCCUCCUUUUAAUUUUUGUCUGUUGGGGAAAUGUAGUUUUUGAGAGUCAGGAAUCUGAAAGAAGCUUAGAUGGUUCUGGCUUGAGAUCUCUCAUAAGGUUCCAGUCAGGACGUCAGCUAGGGCUGCAGUCAUCUGAAGAUGUGGCUGGGCUGGAGGACCCCUUUCCAAGCUUAUUCACCUGGCUAUUGGUAGGAGACAUCAUUUUCUCAGGGGAGGUGGGUUUGAGCAAACCCCGGCUCCCACCUACUCCUUUUGGCCGACUCGAAUAAACCUUUCUCAUCUCCAAGCACUCAUGUCUCAGUGUUUGGCUUGCUGGGCAUCGGGCACACGAACUUGAGAUUAAGAAAUUCGUAUUGAAGAUGGAGAGCUAAAAAGCUCCCUGACUUUCUUGUAGCCAAAGAUGAUCCAGUUCAAAACAAUGAAAGGAACAUGACAAUCUACAGAGAGAAAAACUCUGUGUUGGUACCCAUCGUGAAUGACAGAAGAAAGAGAUAAUGUGGCACCUUGAAGUUUGUCACACCGAAUGGUCUACAUCCCUAAACACCCUCCUUCCCUGCCCAUUUCCCCUAUGUAGCUGCCUCAAGAUUCUGUAUGAUUUUAAGACGGCUCUUUAGGACACUAGUCUGCCAUCUUCUGGUUCUGCUGGUUAAUCGUAUAAACUUUCCUUUCUUAACCACUGGCUUAUUUGUAAUUGAUUGACACUGGAUUGUGGGGAGCAGGACAAGCCCCUUUCGCUGGGUUACAGUACUGUGUUUUAAAUAUGCUUUUUUCCCCCACCUUUGGCAUUUCUGAGCCCUUAAAUUUUACUUUAGCUUCAUUAUUCCCAGCUGAAAUAGGCAUCAUAUUUAGCUGGCAAAGAAAAUAUAUGAUUGAUCGAACUAAGGAAUGUUGGGAAAUUGCUAUGAAAUUAGUUUUUUUUAAUAUAAAUGUUGUUUUGAUAUAUCUGGCUCUAAAAUCAUUUUGUAGAAUGCCAUGUUAAAACUCUACAUUUUUGGAAGACUUAAAAAAAUAAUA